rnacentral:rRNA from 1 species
AGGGAUCAUUACCGAGUUUACAACUCCCAAACCCCUGUGAACAUACCACUUGUUGCCUCGGCGGAUCAGCCCGCUCCCGGUAAAACGGGACGGCCCGCCAGAGGACCCCUAAACUCUGUUUCUAUAUGUAACUUCUGAGUAAAACCAUAAAUAAAUCAAAACUUUCAACAACGGAUCUCUUGGUUCUGGCAUCGAUGAAGAACGCAGCAAAAUGCGAUAAGUAAUGUGAAUUGCAGAAUUCAGUGAAUCAUCGAAUCUUUGAACGCACAUUGCGCCCGCCAGUAUUCUGGCGGGCAUGCCUGUUCGAGCGUCAUUUCAACCCUCAAGCCCUCGGGUUUGGUGUUGGGGAUCGGCGAGCCCUUGCGGCAAGCCGGCCCCGAAAUCUAGUGGCGGUCUCGCUGCAGCCUCCAUUGCGUAGUAGUAAAACCCUCGCAACUGGAACGCGGCGCGGCCAAGCCGUUAAACCCCCAACUUCUGAAUGUUGACCUCGGAUCAGGUAGGAAUACCCGCUGAACUUAA